rnacentral:rRNA from 1 species
ACUCAAAGGAAUAGACGGGGGCCCGCACAAGCGGUGGAGCAUGUGGAUUAAUACGUCACUAACCGUAGAACCUUACCCAGGCUUGACAUCUGAGGAACCCUCCUGAAAGGGAGGGGUGCCCGCAAGGGAGCCUCAAGACAGGUGUUGCAUGGCUGUCGUCAGCUCGUGUCGUGAGAUGUUGGGUUAAGUCCCGCAACGAGCGCAACCCUCAUCGUAUGUUGCCAGCGUAAAGUCGGGCACUCUUACGAAACUGCCCGUGCAAACGGGAGGAAGGUGAGGACGACGUCAAGUCAGCAUGGCCCUUACGCCUGGGGCUUCACACAUGCUACAAUGGCCGGUACAGAGGGUCCCGAUACCGUGAGGUGGAGGCAAUCCCAAAAAGCCGGUCUCAGUUCGGAUCGCAGGCUGCAACUCGCCUGCGUGAAGUCGGAAUCGCUAGUAACCGCCGGUCAGCUAAACGGCGGUGAAUACGUUCCCGGGCCUUGCACACACCGCCCGU